CAGUGUUUUGGUUCACAGUGGCGGGGUGCAUGGUGGACACUAUUAUGCUUACAUUAGGCCAACCCUAUCUGAUCAGUGGUUUAAAUUUGAUGAUGAACGAGUGGCAAAAGAAGAUAUCAAGAGGGCAUUAGAGGAGCAGUAUGGUGGUGAGGAAGAGUUGCCACCAGCAAAUCCUGGGUUCAACAAUUCUCCAUUUAAAUUUACUAAAUAUUCAAACGCAU